UAGGGUCAAUUUAGUGUAAUAUACCGAAAUAUACUGUUGAGUAAAAUGCUGUACGAUGAGGUACAUGUGAGGUGGUCAUGGAAGAGUCAGUUGGUUGAGCAUGUGCUGGGUAAGUGGAGGGGGUUUUUGGUGGCACGUACUACAGCUUCAUGUUCUUCAGGACUGGCAACUCCAGAAGCAUACGAUACUUAAUUGAAGUGUCCUGAGCUAAGGUCUGCUCUUUCCUGUCCAAAGAUUUAUAGUAAUUAACAUAGGAAAGGCAAACAGUGGUUGGGCAUAAGCACUUUGCGUCACACUGGUUUUCCAGUCCAGGGGGGCCACACGGAUACCUACAUAUUUAUUACUUAAGUGUGUGUGUGUGUGUGGAUAUGUUUUUUUAUAUAUAUAUCUCCAUGACGUUUCAGUAAAAUUAGCCUAAAACUCCCAUCCAAGGCAUACCCAAAGUAUGCUGUUCUUGAACCAUUUGGAGUACAUGCAUGGUUUUGGUCUCUUUUGAAAAGGGACACAGAAAUCAGAACCACUGGAAGUGCUACUGGUAUUGAGUAACAGAAGUUUGAACACACUGACACGGAAGGGUUUUUUUCUGCCUGAUUUUUUUAUUUAUUUAUUUAUUUAUUUUUUUGCAUGCAGAUGACUACAGCUGGGAGCUAUUAGCUUGAAAACACAAUUGGACCUCAGCAUGAUGCCUUUCCUAGUCCAAGUUCAAAUUUGAUAAUAGUACCAAAUAAAAUUGAUAUUUUACACGUUUUUUCUAAGGGUAUGUCCUUUUUAUUUUUUUUAUUUUUAUUUUUUACCAAAACCUUUUGGAGACUCCAAAACUCCCUUGGUAACUAUGUACACAUAACUAGGAUAAAAAGGCUGCUACUCUUGAUUUUUCUUAUAAUGAACAUAUCACACAUCCAGCAAUCAGUGGCUACAAGAUCUACAAGUCAUCUCCACAACUGCCAUUAUACAGCUCACACUAUUCACUUAGGAAAGGGGGAAGGAGCAUCUCUUCAGCACAGACUCUCAUUAGAUUUUGAAGCCUAUAGACAGGACAUGGAAGCUCCUAUUGGUUCACCUGAGGUAUCACAGCCUGGGGGCCAUUUUUUGAGAUCUAGCAAUUAGGUGUGUUCAGUCGCAUGCUGAUGAGUUAAGGAGAACAGCGUGGUCUUCUGAGAUCAUUUGGACCGAUGCAGCAGCAGUUCAUGCAGACUUACUGAUAUAAAAUGUGUUUUUGACUAAAUAUUUUAACAUAAUUGGAUUGUUUGGACCUUUGCUAGUGUCACGACCAUUUUUGUUGGGAUGUUUUGGAUCAGUGGACUGCUAUGUGGCUUCAAAGGUGAGUUGCCCCCAUUUGGGAUUUGUUUGUUUGUAUGCUGGUGGUCUGACAAAGACAUUGAUUUUAAAUGGUUUACAUCAAUUGAAUCAGAAGAUUCUUAGCUUUCCAACGGUAUAUUGCAUGAGUACAUACGUACUACACACA
ensembl:lncRNA